UACGAAGGGGGCUAGCGUUGCUCGGAAUCACUGGGCGUAAAGGGCGCGUAGGCGGCGUUUUUAAGUCGGGGGUGAAAGCCUGUGGCUCAACCACAGAAUGGCCUUCGAUACUGGGACGCUUGAGUAUGGUAGAGGUUGGUGGAACUGCGAGUGUAGAGGUGAAAUUCGUAGAUAUUCGCAAGAACACCGGUGGCGAAGGCGGCCAACUGGACCAUUACUGACGCUGAGGCGCGACAGCGUGGGGAGCAAACAGG
rnacentral:rRNA from 1 species